rnacentral:rRNA from 1 species
UACGUAGACCUCGAGCGUUAUCCGGAUUUACUGGGCGUAAAGCGUGCGUAGGUGUUUUUCGCAAGUCUCUAGUGAAAUCUCCGGGCUUAACUCGGAAAACUGUUAGGGGAAAACUGCGAGGAUUUGAGUACGGCAGAGGCAGAUGGAAAUGGUUUGGUGUAGCGGUAAAAAUGCGUUGAUAUCAAACCAGAACACCAGUGGCGAAGGCGAUCUGCUGGGCCGGUACUGACACUGAGGCACGAAAAGCGUGGGUAGCGAACGGG